GUAGGGUGGGCAAGCGUUGUCCGGAUUUACUGGGCGUAAAGAGCGCGCAGGCGGUCGAGUAAGUCGAAUGUGAAAGCUCCCGGCUCAACUGGGAAGGGUCAUUCGAUACUGUUCGACUCGAAGGUAGGAGAGGGAAGCGGAAUUCCCGGUGUAGUGGUGAAAUGCGUAGAUAUCGGGAGGAACACCAGUGGCGAAGGCGGCUUUCUGGCCUAUUCUUGACGCUGAGGCGCGAAAGCUAGGGGAGCGAACGGGAUUAGAUACCCCGGUAGUCCUAGCCGUAAACGAUGAACACUAGAUGUUGGUGGUAUCAACCCCGCCAGUGUCGCAGCUAACGCAUUAAGUGUUCCGCCUGGGGAGUACGGCCGCAAGGCUA
rnacentral:rRNA from 1 species